rnacentral:rRNA from 1 species
CACGUAGGGUGCGAGCGUUGUCCGGAAUUAUUGGGCGUAAAGAGCUCGUAGGCGGUGUGUCGCGUCGGCCGUGAAAACCUGCAGCUCAACUGUGGGCUUGCGGUCGAUACGGGCAUCACUGGAGUUCGGCAGGGGAGACUGGAAUUCCUGGUGUAGCGGUGGAAUGCGCAGAUAUCAGGAGGAACACCGAUGGCGAAGGCAGGUCUCUGGGCCACUACUGACGCUGAGAAGCGAAAGCAUGGGGAGCGAACAGG